rnacentral:misc_RNA from 1 species
GAAGGCAGGCCCUUCAAAGUCUACUGUCGGAAGUCGGCUUUAAACCACCUGCAAGUGGCUGUUAUUAAGAGUAACGGUCAGAAGCGUUGUAGGG